CUUGACCUCAGAUCAGGUAGGACUACCCGCUGAACUU
rnacentral:rRNA from 1 species